rnacentral:misc_RNA from 1 species
GAUCUCUCAAAGGAUAGGUUUAUCCUAUCCUUUGGAUUUUGGGUCUUGCCGUGAAUAUUGCUUCUUGGCUUACCUUGAAACUAUUAGCAAGCUUUGUUUGGGUCAUGUUGAAUGAGGCGUUUUAAUGGAUUCCAAUUGACGGCUCUCAAUGUGAUGAAAGACUUGCUUCCAAUCAUCCCAUUGAAGGGAUAUUAUUGGCUCUCAAUAAUGAGUUCCAAAAUGGA